UGCAAGUCUUCUAUUUCUUCUUCCAACAGUUGACUAACCGGAGCCCUCGUUUGGCUCUAGUUUCUUCGUCAUCCAUCGAAAAAUGAUACGUGUAUUGGAAAUGCGAAGUAUCUUUUUAUCAUUGUUGUUAUAUAGUGCUUAUUUAGGCUGUUAAUGAGUCCCGUGUUGUUUCGUCACUUACAAAGACGUGGCUUGCAGGUGUACAUAUUUGUACUUAACACAGACGACGAUUUCGAAUACUGUUUAAACAAACUUGGAGCAACCGGCGUUAUGACGGACUAUCCGACGAAAUUGUCGGCGUUUUUAAAACGGCAAGCUGAUGAAACGGAACCUAUUUUACCUUCAAAAGCCAGCGACUAAAAAAACUUUAAAAUUUUAUAGAAUUUUUUGAAUUUUAAAUUUAGAACAACACUACUUGGAUGUAAAUUUGUAUCACUGUUUUUAAUUUAUUUAAUUUUUCUUUAUUUCUAAAUAAUUUUUUCUUUAAUCUA